rnacentral:lncRNA from 1 species
CUCAAAAUUUCCAAUUCCAGAUACUACAAAAAGAGUGUUUCAAAAAUGCUCUAUGAAAGGGACUGUUCAACACUGUGACUUCAAUUGAAACAUCCCAAUGAAGCUUCUGAGAAUGCUUCUGUCUAGAUUUUAUAUGAAGACAUUCCCAACGAAAUCCUCAAAGCUAUACAAAAAUAUCCACUUGCAGAUUCUACAAAAAGAGUGUUUCAAAACUGCUCUAUCAAAAGAAAGAUUCAACUCUGUUAGUUGAGUACACAGAUUCCAAACAAGUUUUGGAGACUGCUUCCAUCUAUUUUUUUUGCGAAGAUAUUUCCUUUUUCACCAUAAGCCUCAAAGGGAUCUAAAUGUCCAUUUCCAGAUACUACAAAAAGAGUGUUUCAAAGCUGCUCUAUGAAAGGGAAUGUACAACUCUCUGACUUGAAUGCAA